rnacentral:rRNA from 1 species
GGAGGUCGUGUGAUCACUUGGACUGACUUCUGUCGGGACUUCAAAGCGCACCACAUUCCACAAAGUGUUGUUGAGAGCAAGCGUGAGGAGUUCCGCAAUCUCAAGCAAGGAAACAUGUCUGUGUAUCAAUACAACAUUCAGUUUCAGAAACUUGCUCGCUUCGCUAAACAAGACGUUCCUGAUGAGAAGAGCAUGGUCUAUCACUUCAGAGGUGGCCUUAAAGAGGAUCUGCAGUUAGCUCUCGUUCUUGUUGAGCCUACUGAGUUUGAUCAAUUCUACAAUAUGGCACUGAAGCAAGAGGCUGCUCAGCUCAAGUGUGAGGCUUCUAAGAAAAGAGUCAGGGACGCAGUUCAGUCUUCUUCUUCCUCACUUGUGACAGCUAAGCAACAGAAGUUCUGGUUGCCUCCUCCUCCUCCUCCGUUUCGUCAGCCUUACCAGCAGAAGAACAAAGGUGGCCAUGGUUCUUCAAAUUCUUCCAACUCUGGUUAUCAGAACAAGUCUCAGAAUCAAGCUCCAAAGUCCAAUGCU